rnacentral:lncRNA from 1 species
GUUGCGAGCAAGCUGAAAGAUUGGUCUGAUUUGUUUUGAUCUCUGCUGCCAGGGGCCUUAGGGCAAUGUCAGCGAUCUACAACGUGGCGACAUGUUUUAAGAUGAUCAUCCUGAGGGCUGGCAAUAUGACUCAGUGGGUAAGAGCACUGACUGCUCUUAUGAAGGUCCUGAAUUCAAAUCCUAGCAACAUGGUGGCUCACAACCACCCGAAGUGAGAUCUAACACCCUCUUUUGGUGCGUCUGAAGUCAGCUACAGUGUACUUAUUUAUAAUAAUAAAUAAAUCUUAAAAACAUAAAAAAGAUCCUCCUG